ACCGAAUUGGUGUAGGGGUUAAAAUGCGGGAUUCUCAUGAACGUAUGAGGUUUCCUGAGCCAGGAGUUCGAGUCUCCUAUUCGGUG